rnacentral:rRNA from 1 species
GUUAGUGGCGGACGGGUGAGUAACGCGUGGGAAUCUGCCCUCAGGAGGGGGAUAACGGUUGGAAACGGCCGCUAAUACCCCAUAUGCCGAGAGGUGAAAUGAAUUUCGCCUGAGGAUGAGCCCGCGUCUGAUUAGCUAGUUGGUGAGGUAAGAGCUCACCAAGGCAUCGAUCAGUAGCUGGUCUGAGAGGAUGAUCAGCCACACUGGAACUGAGACACGGUCCAGACUCCUACGGGAGGCAGCAGCGAG